CUACACAUAAAUUAUGCCAAGACAACUGAUGCUAGUGAUCCCUUUGGUAUUAAGUGUGGUCUGUCAGGUCGAAGCAGUGCCAACAUUGUUUUCGGGGAUGCAUACAAUCUGUAUGUUAUACCUGUAGCCCAGAUUCAAGGUCAAGCUCCUGUACUAAAAUGGUUUUCUGCAAAUGUAGUGGCAGAGGUGUCUCACUCAGCUAGACUAGAGUGUGUUUUCAGUGGAUAUGACCCAUUACAACCAUUACCAACCAUCACUUGGACAUUAGAUGAUGGGACAGUAAUAAGCACCAACCAAAAGUACAAUGUGUCAUCAAAUGGAAGAUCUCUCAUAAUCUACAAGUUAUUGGAACAAGAUGAGAGAAAUUAUUACUGCAAGGCUAAAAAUAACUUUGGAGAGAGUGAUCCACAUCAAGUUUUUCUUAACGUCACAAGUAAACCCAUUUUCUAUGAAAACAAAGCCCCAAGAGAUGUAACAGUUUCCCAAAAUAAAGAUGUGACAAUUCCAUGUGAAGCUAGGUCACCUUCUGGAGAGACACAUCCAUCUCCUGCACUUUGGUAUGUCAAUGGGAGA
rnacentral:sRNA from 1 species